UACAGGGGGGGCAAGCGUUGUUCGGAAUUACUGGGCGUAAAGGGCCAGUAGGCGGCCAACUAAGUCACACGUGAAAUCCCCAGGCUUAACCUGGGAACUGCGUGUGAUACUGGAUGGCUUGAAUUCGGGAGAGGGAUGCAGAAUUCCAGGUGUAGCGGUGAAAUGCGUAGAUAUCUGGAGGAACACCGGUGGUGUAAACGGCUUUCUGGACCAUAACUGACGCUGAGGCACGAAAGCGUGGGUAGCAAACAGG
rnacentral:rRNA from 1 species